GCUGACCCUGAAUCCACAGUGAGCCUCUUGCUUCAGCCUUUCAAGUGCUGGGAUUACAGGCUCGUGCCCAUGCUGGCUCUGGAGCUUCCCACUGUGCCACAGUCCUUGACAUCUGUUUGUACAUUGUAUUUUGAUUUUCUAAUUUAGUCCCCUGGUGGUAACUGUGUUUCCAAAUUUGUGGAGAGAAUUUCCAUUUUGUUUCUAUCCCCAGAACGUGUUAUGCUUCCCAACCACAUUAGAAGUCAUUAGUUUGACAUUUGCUGUCUGUGCUCAAGGGAGAGCUUAAACAAGAGCUGUCUCUUUCCUGCCCAGUCCUUUAACAGAAAAACCAAAAUAUCAGAAGCUGAGCACACAUGGGGAUAUUACUUGUUCCUCUUCCAUUUUUAUUCACUUAGGUCAGUAUUUUUCUUUGAGUCACCAUUAAGUGUCAGUUCUUUUGAUGGAUGAUGGGAUAUAGUGUUAAAAUUAAGUCCUUGUUCUUUAUUAGCUUAGAGCCGAGGGAAGGAGGAAACCAAUACAAAUUUCAGUACAUAUGAGGUCUGAAGGAGGUAUAGACAGAAAGAUACUACAGGGCAGCAGGGGGCAUGCUCAAGUGAGUUUCAAGGAAACCAAAGGGAAAACCAAAACUUCCCAGGUGAAGGAAGUGGCACCUGCGAGCUGAACGACAUCUUCCACAGGAGUGCUAGCAAGGGCAAGUUCUUGGAGAGCAGGAUGAGGCCAAAUGGAAGGACAGUGGAAUUCAGCGCUGCUGUGGUGUCAGGUGCAUGUGGGCAAGUGUGGAGGCCAGAAGACAGAUCAGGAAGUGUAGUAAUUAACGGUGUCAACUUCAAUAAGGAAUGCCCAAGUAGAUUGGAUCAGCAUAGUUCUGGGUGUGAGUGACAUCCACGAAUAGGCUUGUAGCCUGAAUGGCAUACAAUGAAGAAGGAAGGCUCAUUUCUGUUGUUUAGAGGAGCUCCAGUUUUCACUUUCACCUAGGACCGUGUCUGUUGUCUUCUGGUGCAGGCCGUUCAGCUUCCAUCACAGACCCUGUGGUCUCCCGAUAGAGACUGGAACGGAACACUACAGUGGACUCCAGGCCUUCGACUGGAUCCCUUGGAUCUCCAGUGCAUAGACAGCCUUUCUGCACUCUUCCACAGCUGACUCCAAACACUCACUGAGCAAAAGCAAGACAUGAGGGAAUGAGACCAUCAGAUCAGUUUUGGAGGUGCUGAGUGAACCAGCCCAAGAGAGCCAUCCAGAAACCAGUUAUGCCUAGAGCUGAGAGCCAAGAACAGCAGUGAGGUGACUGGAUCCAUGGGUUAUAAGGAAGAAGAGUAAAGUCAGGGCUCCCUCUCCCUUUCUCCCUUUAAAAACAGUAUUGGAGACUGAACCCAGGGCCAUGUGCACGCUAGAUGAUGAUGAAGCCAUUCUGUGAUUCAAGCAUGCUGAGAGGCUGAAGCAGGAGCAUCACAAGUUCAAGACCAGCCGGGGCAACUUAGCAAGACCCUGGCGCUCCGAGUGUUCAAGUCCCAGUGCGCCCCGCUGACCCCAAGGUCUCUGGUGGCUCCGAGUCUCUGGGUGACUGAAGCAUUGGCAGUCCGUUUACCGCCACCAUGGAAACAAAGGCGGGGUGUACAGAGCUGGACAUCCGUCAUCACUCGUCACUCGCGGCACUUCCGGCCAGGGCACCUUCCUCUGGACCACGUCAUGGAACCGAGCUAAGCUGCACACAUCUGGGGGUUAGGCCGUGAGGGUACCAAAGUGACACGCCCAGACUGGGACCUGGGAUUGGUCAACAGGGAGUGGGGCGGGGCCGACAGCGAAGUGGGCGGGACAGUGAUUCUCCUGCCUCAGCCUCCUGGCUAGGAUUACAGGGCAAUGUCAACACACCUGGCUCCAGCUUCUAUUUCUGAAGGAAUCAAUCUGUGGGCCUUGUUUGUGUGUUACGGAAAAUUAUGCAACCGCCACAAAUCCUCACUGCAGUAUCUGCAUGUAGUCUCUCACCAUUUUUAAUGCCUUUUAUAAUACUGUAUUUACUUUAAUGCUCAUUAAUUUCUAGUGCUACUUUAAACAUACAUUUCCUACAACCCAAUAUGUUCCAUGAGACCCUGAUCUUGCAAUCAAAAUUCUCAUAAGUACACUGGAUUUUGUUUUGUUUUUGUGGUGCUCAACAUCAAACCCCGGGUCUGUAGUCUGCCAGUCAAGUGCUUUAGGCUACAUACAUGUCCAGCCUUGUGCUGGUUUUUAAGAACAUAAACCAAUAAGAUUGGGAAGUGAAGAAAAUAUUUACCAUUUUAAAAAGAUGUAGUUAUGUGUAAAUAC